UGUAGGGGUCCUGGAACCAGUUAGUUCCCUGUGCAUAUUGAGGGUUCACUGUACUUGAUUUUAUGAAAUGGCCAAUGCUAAGUUAGUUUGGGUGAAUCAAAUAAUCUUUGGUUCAGAAAAGGGCAAGCUGAGAAUUUAUUGCUUAUUUUGAAAAGAAAUUAUCAGGAAAUAAAUACUGUCUUCAAGAUUCAAGAAAUUCUAUUUUUUCAAGAUUCAUUAUUGACUUACUAAAUCUACUUAUUCAAUUCUUUUGUAAUUUUCUUUUUAAAAGAUUAAAAUUGGAAUUUGAAAGGCAGACAUUCUGGACAUUGGUGUGUAGCUGCUAGCUGAAGAAAUGGAACUGGGCCUGGCCUUUAAAUAAGGGUGUUUCAACUUUAACAUUUCCCUUCCAUGGUAAAUACUAGCAAGAAUAUUUUGGAAGACUAAUAGAGGAAGGAGAUCAGGGAGGGAGUAGGAAAGAGAAGGGGGGUACUGGGUAUUGAAAUGGAGAAAGCUUUGUUAUGUGCAUUUAUGAAUAUGUCAAAAUGAACCCUACCAUUAUGUAUAACUAUAAUGAACUAAAAACAAUGCUUUGGAAAAAUAGUUGCCAGAAUUGUACCACAGAGAAUUUUUCCUAGUGCCAUGAGUCACAGACUUGUAGUUGUUAAAGAAAUAUAUUCAAUAUUAGCAAACAUAUCAGCUGUGGCAGAGAUUGCUAGGUGCUUAGGCCUACUUUUGAUUUUCCUUUCUAAUAGAGCUUAAAUUUUAUUAAAGUAAAAAUGUGCCUGGCUAAGAAGCCUUCGUAUUUUUUAGCUUCUCUUUUAGCUGGGGUUGGCCAUGUGAUAGUCCUUGGUCAGUGGGUGGAAAUUUUUGAAUGAAGUUUUUGGGAAAUUCCUUUUCAACACAAUUUUUUUUUUCUUCCUGUCUAGAAAUUAGACGUAAUGCUG
rnacentral:lncRNA from 1 species